rnacentral:rRNA from 1 species
UUCGAGUGGCGGACGGGUGAGUAACGCGUGGGUAACCUGCCUUACACAGGGGGAUAACACCUGGAACAGGUGCUAAUACCGCAUAAGCGCACAGGGCCGCAUGGCCCGGUGUGAAAAACUCCGGUGGUGUAAGAUGGACCCGCGUCUGAUUAGCUUGUUGGCGGGGUAGGGGCCCACCAAGGCGACGAUCAGUAGCCGGCCUGAGAGGGUGGACGGCCACAUUGGGACUGAGACACGGCCCAAACUCCUACGGAAGGCAGCAG